GAUGAACGCUGGCGGCGUGCCUAAUACAUGCAAGUCGAGCGCACGGACGUGAAGCUUGCUUCUCUGGUGUUAGCGGCGGACGGGUGAGUAACACGUGGAUAACCUACCUAUAAGAGUGGGAUAACUUCGGGAAACCGGUGCUAAUACCGCAUAAUAACUUGAACCGCAUGUUUCAAAAGUGAAAGACGGACUUGCUGCCACUUAUAAAUAGCUCGGCGUUGAUUUAGCUGGUUGUUAAGGUAACGGCUAACAAAGGCAACGAUCCAAAGCCGACCUGAGAGGGUGAUCGGCAACACGGGAACUGGGACACGGCCCAGACUCCUACGGGAGGCAGCAGAAGGGAAUCUUCGGCAAUGGGCGAAAGCCUGACGGAGCAACGCCGCGUGAGUGAUGAAGGUCUUCGGAUCGUAAAACCCUGUUAUUAGGGAAGACCAUAUGUGUAAGUAACUGUGCACAUCGUGACGGUACCUAAUCAGAAAGCCACGGCUAACUACGUG
rnacentral:rRNA from 1 species